ensembl:lncRNA
AUUCCCACCAGAUUCCUGCUUCUUAUGAUGAAAUAUUCACAUCUGCUAGAAAGUAUAGCAUGUUUACUUAGCUGUAAGGAGCACUGAAACCCAGGCCUGCACCAGUCCCCAUUUAUACUGACCAAGGUAUCUGAGCCCCACUAUGUGCUGCCUCCUCCUCACUCCAGGAAGCAUCUCUAGCUGUCAUCCAUGCCCUCCUUAACUGUUGCUCCACAUAGGUGUGGAGCCCAUCCAGUAUUCUUCACACUGCUUGUUCUUAACAUUUAUGAAAACAGAACUGUGCUGAAUGUAUUCUUCAGUCAGUGUUUUUACAGUGAACAUCAAGUUUCAACUGUAUUAAUGUGUGUGUCUGUAGUUUGUUUUUGUCCAUUGCUCUAUAGUAUUCCACUGUGUGGCUGCUCUUCUCAGGGAAGUUAAAAAUGGUUUCUUGCUCCUUUUUCUAUAAAACGUUAUAAACUUACUUCAACAAGCACACAUGUGUAGCAGUUCACAUAUCAAGGAUUGGAAUUGAUGGCCUGGGAGCUUAUGCCUCUGUGCUUGCCGAGUAAUGAUGUCUAAUUGCCUCCUAUCAGUAGGUCCUGAGAGUCCUGUGGCCCAUGUCCUGCUGACAUCAGGCAUUGGUUCAUGCUGUGUGCUUGCCGGUCUGGGACAUGUGAUAUCAGCAUCUCCUGGGUCUAAUAACCUCUGAUUAUUAAUGCAGUAGAGCAUGUGACUGGCCAUUCGUAGUUUAGCUGCUGUACAUGCCUGUCUUUUUCCAGUUUUUCUCAUAAAUUACUUGUCUUUUUCUUGUGAACCUGUAGGUGUUCUUUUUAUAUUCCAAGCAUCUGCCCUCUGUUUCCUCUUUAUUCCACCAUCUUUUCUCUUCAUGGUUGUGAGAAAUGAUAGAACAUCAUGUGAAAUGGGUCAUAUGAACCAGUCUUCUUCCUCAUCAUUCCUGGUUUUGGUUUCUUGUUGGAUGAAUCUUUCCACACCCCAGAGUGGUAAAGAGUUUUCUCAUACAUUCUUCUAAAAGUUUUAUGUCACUUAUUUUGUUUUCUAUGCAGAAUUUCACUUCAAAUUAAAAACUCUCCAAUCUUUCCUUGCAAGUUGCCUUUACCUAGAAUAUAUCUAGGGGGUCUUAUGACCCAAAGAGGUAGGCACAAAUCCUAGGCAUUCAUUUAUCCACUAGGAAAAUAAUGUACUGUGCAGAGUUCUGUAAGCUGCCGAGAAUGAGUACCAUAAGAAUGAGCCUGACUCCUACAGUGUCCUCAAGUACAGUGUGCUAAAUGGUAUCAUGAGGACAGCUCACUGUGGGUUUGCUAGUGUUAGAAAUGGAGCUGCAAGGGUUAGGAGAGAAAGCAAGCAAUUCAUGCAUAAAUGGGUACAAUACACACACCUCAACAUCAGGAUGGUGCCUUCCUCUGAGGCCACUUUGCCAUCUCGAAUCCUGUCCAACCUUGAAAAAUUUAGAGACGGCCCAGGCAACAGAUUUCAAGGGUUGAAAAUACUGCAGCAUACAAUAUUGCCUCUUCCAAACUAUUCUUUUCUUCUUUGACAAAACAUACUCCAAGAUAGAGUUCUCAGGUCAUUCCAGGACAGAAGGUUGAGAUGCAUAACAACAGGCAACCAGUGCAUAGCCUGAAUAGCUAAAGAGAGAUGCAGGUGGAGUAACUGCUGGAUUCUCUGUACUUUAUGAAGUCGGCAAUGGUAGAGAUGCACCUUAAACAUAGGUAGUCAAGUUUAAGUUGCAGGUUGAUAUUUACAGCCCACAUAGAUUUAAGUCUGUUCCAUUCUUUGGUGGGUAGCUCCAGCUUUGCAUGAGACCUUGAACUUAACCCUGUGUACUCUAGGUUCUCUUUGCCAGAAGCAGUAAAGGUUACUGAGUUCUUGUGUCAGUUCCUCCAGGGACUAACUGGGACCCUAGGGAAUCUCUUGGACUCUGAGCUCCACUUCCUCUCAGUGAGGUGGAGACCAUAAGCUUGCCCAGUGUAGGAGGAUGUUUUGAAAAGGUUUGCUGACAGGUUUCCCCUGGGCAUUGAAGGGGUUUGCCCAUACUCCAUCUGGUGGGAAAAGGGCCAGAAUUAAAACCCAGGCCUUUCUCCCACCAAAAUAUAGCUUCUUCCUGUCAUGCUGUUGCUGUCAUUUUUAAAAAUAAUAAUCAGAGUAAAAUUGGGAGAACAGGUUUGAGCCUCAUGCUAUCACACCCAGCAGAGUAGCAGAGCAUGCACUGAGGGUCUCAGAAAGUUCUCUCAGAAGUUUUUGGUAAAAUAUAACCUGUGCGGACACAGAGCCUCUGAAGUCUUGUAGAGAAAUGUUAACCACGAUAAAGUACAUAUGGACAGUGUCACUAACAAAAUUCAAAACUACCAAGGUGAUUUCUAUUUGAUGAUUUGAAUGUUUUCUGAAUUCGGUAAUGAAAAAGAAAACUCCUUUUAAAAGUAUUUUACUUUUUUUAGUGAGAUGGUGAUACAGAGCAGGGUAAAGUUGCACAGUUGCUCCUGGGUUCUUUAAGAGAACGAAAGAGCAGAAGCUGGUAUUGAAAAGGGGGUCCGAUCUGUGUCCAGGGCCUCCUUUGCCACCUGCUUAGGCAGAGGUCUUUGACCAUCCAGUGCUGGGUGUUAGCUCAGUAUUCACAUUUGAACAUGUCUUAUGGACAAGGUGAACCUUACAUGAGUCCUGAUAUUCGACUUAUAAUGUCCUUCUUUACAGAGAGCAGCCAGCACCAAAGCCCUAAGGAUGUUAGGGAAGAAAACGUCCCACAACACUGCUCCAAAUGGCCCUGGCUGCUGGUUCUAAUAGAUUCUGUCAUGAUCCCAAGGCUGCAUUUUGUAAGGCUACUCGGAAAUGAUUUUUGGCACCCAUCAGUUCCUUGUCUGUGUCUGAACGCUGCCAGAGGUUGAUAUUUGUUUCUCUUUGUCACGGUGCUUACAUGCCCUGAUCCGGGCAAUUCUGAUGAGCUCCCGCUCUCACCCCAACCCCUAAUGGCUGUUUGUCUAAAUGACAAAACCCAGUCUAGCGCCAUUAGCACGCAGUUGGGGUGCAUGCUGCAUGUGACAGGCCAGGGCAUAAAUGGCAAGACUGAGAUGCUUCUGCAAACUGAGCACCUCCUCCUUCUUUUGUGGCUGCCAUGGAGCCUUAGUUUAGGAAUCAGAGGCUCUCAGAACUUGGUGAUUGCCUCCUGUGACCAUUAAUGCAGGACUUCCUCCAGAGAGCACAGCCCUCUGGGCCUGACAGGGACCAGCUUGUGCCAGUGGGAGCGUAUCAUUCAGGGAUGAUGGGCCACUGUCUAAGCUGUCUCUGUGGCAUCACGCACAACACCCCUCUGUAGAUUUGACUAUGAGCUAGAGAGGCAGAGCAUGACAGGUCUUUGAGUGUCGCUCCUGUUCGAGCCCAGGCCCAUGGGCAGACUGUGGGCUGAAAGGGGGAGCCAUGAAUUGAGUGUUGACAGCGGGCCAUGGCGGUCCAAAGGCUCAGGUGGUUGUCAGCCGUAAGUUUAGCUCAGCUCUUUGAGUAAUUUGUCACGCCUCGCUCGGCCCCUGCUGGGCCAGCACGUGCCAGCUUACUGUCAGAGUGCCUGUUCGCCAGACGGCCACUCAGGCCUAACAUCCUGCUGUUCCCCGACCAGCGGCUUGCUGGGGCCGUGCUCGGAAGGCCGAGCCACAGCAACAGCCAAGUGCUGUGCAGAAUAAGCAUGUUCAUAAUGAGACAUGAAUGGCAUUAGUGGGUCCCCCUAGAAUUGGGCCUGAGCAGGCACCGCAUGCUGAGGAAGUUUGGCAGGCUGUUCAUUAAGGCAAGUCACCAGGAGUUCAGCCUCAGCCGUGGAGCCGGCCGGGUGCAGGCUGCCCAGGCCUCUGUCUAUAGAAAAGAUCAUAAAUCAUCAUGGGGCCACUUCUGAACUCUUCAUGCCCAUGUUCGUCAUGUUACAUUUUGUUUAGUUGCAUCCAGCAAGAUUGAGAAGGAUCCCUGGCCUGUGAUAGUGUUGCUUUCCGUGAUGAUAGGCCUGUCCUCUAUUCUGUGCCACCAAUCCUACAACCCCUGGCCUGGCACAGUGCUGAGCACUUGAAAUACAGCAAGUAAGGCAGAAGAACCAAGUUUUAAAUUUUUAAUUAAUUAAAAUUUAAAUAUAGAUAGCUGCAUGUGACAUGUGGCUCUCUAGAUUGCUCUGGUCACCCAAGGUAUGAAGUCAUCCUCUGAACACAUAUGAGAGGAGGCGGAGGAAAAGCCUACAUCUGGAAAUCAGUGUACCUACUUUGUUAAAAGAAAAUAGACAAACAUCUACCUAUUUUAAAGUACAGGCUCCAUUGAAAGGACAAGUCACCAACUUAUAUUUUUCAAGAGGCCAUUUUGAAAAGAUAGUUUUAAGGGACAGUAAGAAAUGCUAGAAUUACUUGGAAGUAACAGAUUAAGGGGUGGCUCUCAUUCUCAGUGUUCCUGGAAAAUCAGCCCAGUUUUCAAACUGACUGCAACAUGUCUUUUAACUUUGGCUUUGGUAAUGGGGAAGGGGAAGUGAGACAUCACACCAACCUCCCCAGUGUUAAUUUGUGAAGUCUUAUGUGCUGCUGCCAUCCAUUGUCAGUUGUUCUGUUGUUACCCUGGUGUUAGAAGUGCAUGAGUCACCUUCCCAGGAAACAGAAGCCACACACAAAAGGCGAAGAUUUGCUUUCUACCCUGUGAAAGGCUGCCACACGCAGGGGUCCUAUUAAGACAGCUGGAAAGUUGCUUCAGCGUGUUACGCUUCUAUGAAGAACGAGCACUGUAUCUUGAAGCAAUAAUUCAGAACCAUCGCGAAGUCAUGACAUUCGAGGAUUUUGCAGCUCAAGUCUUCUCCCCCUCGCCCAGCUAUUCCCUCAGCGGAACGGAUUAAAAUAUACAGAGGUCUUGUUAUGGUACCUGAGCAAGGUGCUGUGGCCUCCAGCCUGAAGUGCCACCCCAGGAGAACCCUAGUGUGGAGGAGACAGGCAGAUUCCUCAUCGUCCCCAAGCCCCCAGACCUGGUGGCCCCUGGAAUCAUGGCUGUGCAGACUUGUGGAAAAGUCACAUGGAACUUCUGGACAAGGCUGUGUCCUCCUGACCUGAAACCUCACAAACUUCCAGCUUUCAAAGAAAAAAGAAAAAAGGCGACAACAACCAGAGACAAGCAGCUGCCACAGGGCAUGGGUGGCUACUUCUGGGGAGGGGGUAGAGGGCAGUUGGCUCCCCAUUCAUAAAUAUAACCACCCAUCCCAGAGGAACCAGCAAAACAUGGUUAUUGUGGGAGGAAUUUCCUGUGUGUGUAUUUCACCUGUUCUUUCUAUGUUAGGAUCAUGGUUUUCUCAGAAAUUUCAUCAUCAUGACAAUUGGCUCUCCCCAGAGUCCUUACCAGGGAGAAGGUUUACCUCUUUCACCUGGUGCUUGCAGCCCUCUAGCACAGCAGGAUCGACUGACGGCCAUGCUGCUGCCCCGGAGCACUCAGAGCUCUUUCAAAAUCCAGGGUCCUGUCCUCAAGAGAGCUCCUACAGGACAAGGAUGAUCGCUAGGCACAGUGCAGCUCAGCUCCUCCAACACCAAGGCAAGCAUCCCUAGGACACAGAUCUCGUGCCUCUUUCCUAUCCUCCACAAUGGCCUACACACACCUGCAUAUCACCCUCAGCCUGCCUGGUGACUGAUAAUCGGCACAGCCAUUUCCCUGCAGGGCCAGUUUGUUCCCAGAGGCCAUGGAGUUUCUUUGACUGAUGGCAACUCAUGCAGGACAAGGGCAACCUGGGAGCCAGGCAUGCUCUGGGACACUUGGGAAAGGACCAAGCAUAGUCCCUGCUGGGAGGGCAGACCUUAUAGGCAGAGCUGCCCCAGGCUUGGGGAACAAAGCACCUCGAGCUGUCCCACUUGAGACAGGAUGUUCCAGGUGGCCAUUAUCACUCGGGGCUGUGUUCUAAGGGUGUGGGGAGGUGACCAGGUUUGGUGCUAUUUCCCACCAUGUCCCCAUUCUUCCUCUCACCAGUCCCUUUUCAUUGAUUUUAGCUUUCUAGUCACUGAUUUGGCUGGUGUCACUCAGACUUGCUGGUCUUAUUGCUGGUGUGCUUGGUUUCAUGUUUACAAAGUGCCCAGACCUUGUUCUUAUACAGAGUUCAUCACCUGUCCCUGGGCCCAAAGGCAGGAAAUGGCUCCCAGGAGAACAUGGAUCCACAGGCUCCAUGCACAGAGGGCAGAGGGAGGAGAGGCGUGGCAGGGACCGGAAGGAUUUUCCUUUCUGUGGUGCCAAGGUGGAGUACAGAGCCUCACUUGUGCUAGACCAGUGCUCAGCUCUUGAGCCCCACCCAGCCUCUGUUGCCAGAGUUGAUGCCCAGGACUUCGGGCUUUAUUUUAUCUCUGGCGAGCUAGCUCUGACCUUGGAGUAGGAAAUUCAAUUGCAAGUAGCAAAAACUCAACCUUGGUGUAAUCCCCAGUAGUUUUAACAACCCCAUGACCCAGAUGACAGCCGGGAGUCCUCCACCUGGAGUCUGAGUCCACUGUUGCAGGAGCAGCUUUGGUUUGGAGACAGACUGGGAAGCAGGGAGUCUGGCAACCAUGUUGCUCGCAAUGCAUGACUUAGUCAUUUUUGUUAUUUGGGGUGGAAAAUUGAAGUGGUCAAGUUUUUUUUUUUCUAGUUAGAAAAGAAAAGAUUAUGUUUUUAUAAUAAAUGCCUUUUAGCAAAAUUGCCAGGGUCACUCAGACCCUUCCAGCCACACACUGACUCUUCACCUCCUGGGGCGUGUGUCAGCAUCUGCAAACACAAGCGGCACGCAGUGGCCCCAAAUAGGGUCAUGCUCAUGCCUCACGUCAGGCCCACCUGCUUCCCCCACUCCACACACUAGAUUCCAGAUUUCCAUCAGAGCAAAGCCGAGUUUAGAGUCUCACGCAUCAGCUUUUAUACUUAAAAAAAAUAGUAAUUCCACAAAUAGUGACUUUAAAAAUAAUCGAGCCUUGAGCAUGAAGGAAUGUAGCUCAGGAGAGCGGCUGUCACACGUGUCUUUGGCAGCUAAGUCUGCUGCUCCUAAGAGCUGUGGGUGGGGGACCCUGGCCUUGUGAUGUGGGUUGAUCCACUGGACCCUUAGCCUUACAAACAAGAGAUCAUACAGAUCCAGAGAGCCAUGUAAGUCCCUGUCUUCCCAAUCAAUUUCAGUGCCGCUGCUGCCCACCACUGAUCUGAUCUAUUUGUUGCAAGCAGAGGUUUAUGAAUCCUUUGAAACUUACUGUGACAUCCUAUAUGUAGCUGAGUACUUUAUAUCUACCGAAGGGGACAUUCAACAAGAAAUAGCCAUAGUUGUAGCUGCACUCCGUAUCUAUGUAUGACAUGCACAUUAAGUGAAUGUUUCCCAUGUUUUCAGAUCUACAAAGUUUAGUAUGUGUAAAUAGGGAAAAAUUUGAUAAAUAUGGUAAAUUAAGUUUAUAGUGUGUCAUUUGACUCUUGUUUUGCUGCCUUGUUAUUUAAUUUCCCAACCCCUCCACAUCUAGGGUGGUUCUGAGGUAGAGACCCUCUCAGCUAAUCCACCCUGCAGACAUGAGUGUGUGUGUGUGUGUGUGUGUGUGUGUGUGUGUGUGUGUGCAUGUGACACAGGACACACUCCACGAAGGCAGCCGUGCUCUGGGAUAGCGUGCAGCUCACUGCUGAUGCCUGACUGACUCUAGUUCACCCUCUUCCCCCUUCAGUUCUGACUGUGAUGAUUUAAUAAGUGGAGACAUAGCACUCAGCUGCUAUAUGUUUCUGUCAGGCCUCUGGUUUGUAGGAAAAUAAAAUUUAUCUUGGCAUCUAAUAAAAAAGAUGGUUUGUAUUUUUAUUGUAGAGAGUUGUUCAGAAAUGUUUUUAAACCAAAGCCUAAGCAUGUGUCCAACAUGAUAUCUGGUACCAGAGCAAGGAAGUUUACAUGCAUAGGCAAAGUUGACCCCAUGGGUCCUGCUGUGGCCUGCUAAGAGCUGGCCACCAGAGGUCCUGAGCCCAAUGUCAUUGCCCCACCCACACAACCCCGUGGGGCUUGUCCGUGGUUCGUCCUGACAAGUAAGCUGUAAUGUGGCCUCCUGCUGGCACAGCUGAGGCCAGGCUCAUGGCUCUGCCUUAGGACACUAGCUGUCACACUGCAGGCUGGCCCCAGCCACUGCCUGUGUCCUGGGCCACUCUGCUCUAGAGAGCAGCAGAAUGCUCACAACACUAGGCAGCUGAGUUUAUGAAAUCACUCUCUUGUCCAUUUAGGAAAUGCUCCUUGAGUACUUGUUACUUGCAAGAUAAUCAGUGGCCUCAGGAGAGUGGUCCAGGUGUUCCCAGGAGUCAGACGUGGAGUCUGAACUGGAUUGGGCUUCUUUCUCGCUUUUGAUAAACAGCAAAGCCUGUGCACAGGAUCGUCAUGGUUUUAAUACUUUGCUUCUGGUAGGAAGCUCAUGGGAAAUAAGGGCCUCUGUGGCGAGAAGCAGUGGUUCCCACCUUGGACCGUCAGCCUCAUGCAGGAAGCUGGGGUUCCUGCCCUACUACACCCUGACUUCUGUUGCCUCUGCUCGCUUUCCUUACCUACCCAGAGGACACAGCUGCAGAGACAGGCUGGGGAGCCUGAGCCAAGCCACUGUGGUGCUCAGGGAAGUGGGUGGGUCUCAAUGUGGGGGCCUGGGGAUCACACCUUGGAAGGGGAGCUCCUUGGGGUUGUGUCCUGCCCCUCACAGCUCAGCUGGGGAGCAGUUCAUGGGAGGCCCCUUGGGAUAGUUCUGCAAUGUUUUUCAGAUCUGGCCAUUUAGAAUUCAAAGGCUACUGUUACCAAAGCCUGGUAAAGAAGCUUAUUUUCUUACAGCAAAGAGGAGGAGGGCUUCCUGCACUAUAUCCAUUUCCUAUAGGUGACCAGUCAACAAACCCCAGGCCCUGUCCUGUAAGACCAGCAGAAUUCCAAAAGGAACUAAACUUACAGUGGCCCUCAAAAGGACCAUUGCUGCAAGCAACGCUGUCAUAGGUCCACCUUGGUCUUUGUCUGGUGCCAGAAUUUACAGCAAAAACACUCUCAUGUUACGCCCCUGGUAUAAUUCUCUAAGUGUCCCAGGAAAAAGUUGGAGUUAUUUAUUUAUCUUCCAGUGAGGAGCCUUGAACAUUGUACCCAUUCACUUCUGUCAUCAUCGCCACUAUUGUCAGGG